ACGAGCCACAGCAGCGCGCGGGCCGGCAGCGGCGAUCCAGGAUGGUCGGUCAUGGCACGGCCGAAUCAGGCUGCGUCGGCCAGAGACGCGGCGGUCCGUGGGAGGCGCUGUUCGAGGU
rnacentral:misc_RNA from 1 species